UACAGAGGGUGCAAGCGUUAAUCGGAUUUACUGGGCGUAAAGCGUGCGUAGGCGGCUCGCUAAGUCGGUUGUGAAAUCCCUGGGCUUAACCUGGGAACUGCAGUCGAUACUGGCGGGCUAGAGUACGGUAGAGGGAGGCGGAACUCCGGGUGUAGCGGUGAAAUGCGUAGAUAUCCGGAAGAACACCGAUGGCGAAGGCAACCUCCUGGGCCUGUACUGACGCUGAGGUACGAAAGCGUGGGGAGCAAACAGG
rnacentral:rRNA from 1 species